UACGGAGGGGACUAGCGUUGUUCGGAAUUACUGGGCGUAAAGCGCACGUAGGCGGAUUUGUAAGUUAGGGGUGAAAUCCCGGGGCUCAACCUCGGAACUGCCUUUGAUACUGCAAAUCUCGAGUCCGGAAGAGGUGAGUGGAAUUCCUAGUGUAGAGGUGAAAUUCGUAGAUACUAGGAAGAACACCAGUGGCGAAGGCGGCUCACUGGUCCGGUACUGACGCUGAGGUGCGAAAGCGUGGGGAGCAAACAGG
rnacentral:rRNA from 1 species